rnacentral:RNase_P_RNA from 1 species
UCAGUCGGCUGGAUGGCCGCUCCGGGGUAACCCGGGGAGGAAAGUCCGGGCUCCACGGAAAAACGGUGCCGGAUAACGUCCGGCGGGGGCGACCCUAGGGAAAGUGCCACAGAAAGCAGACCACCGCACCGCGCCUCCGGGCGCCGUGCGGCAAGGGUGAAAGGGUGCGGUAAGAGCGCACCGCGGGCCCGGCAACGGGACCGGCACGGUAAACCCCACCGGGAGCAAAACCAAAUAGGGACGGCACGCGCCAAACCGCCCGCCCGCGGGUGGUCAGGUGGCGCGAGGUGUUUCCGCACCGCCGUCCGGGUCGGUUGCUCGAGGCGUCCGGCGACGGACGUCCCAGAUGAAUGGCCAUCCACCGCCCCUCGGGGUGGGGACAGAACCCGGCUUACAGGCCGACUGAUGCU